rnacentral:lncRNA from 1 species
UGUCAGGUCUCUGGUAUUCUGCCUUAACUCGUUGGCAAGUAAGAUAUCGGGAGACAUUGUUGACAAUGUCCUUCUUCAUUGUAGACCACCAAUAUUGACGCUUUAGGUCCCGAUACAUCUUAGUACUCUUAGGAUAGAUGGACAGUUUAGAGGCAUAAGUGGCCUUGAGAACAUUCGUCUUGACAGCGACAUGGACCAAAAUACGAUCCCAAAAUUUGCACAAU